AUGACCCCAAGAACAUCGUCCCUGAAGGAAGGUAAAGGCCAUGUCAAUGCUGAGGUGACCCAGUUCCCAAGACACCGCAUCGCCACUCGUGGAGAAACGCUGACGGUGGCCUGCACGCAGGACCUGAAUCACGACGCCAUGUACUGGUACCGCCAGGACCCAGGAGAGGGACUGCGGCUCCUCCACUACUCGGUCAACGUGGACAUUGUGGACAAGGGGGAGCUCCCCGACGGCUACCUCGUGUCCCGAAAGGAGAAGAAGAGCUUCCCACUGACCCUGGAGUCUGCGGUCCCUAGCCAGACCGCGCUGUACCUGUGUGCCAGCAGCUAAGCCACAGACAGACCUCAGUACUUUGGAGAGGGCACACGGCUCUCCGUCCUCGAGAACCUGGACAAGGUGAAAGCACCACAGGUGACCAUCUUCGAGCCCUCCCCGGCCGAGAUCUCCAGCACUCAGAAGGCCACACUCGUGUGUCUGGCCACCGGCUUCUACCCUGACCACGUGGAGCUGAGCUGGUGGGUGAACGGCAAAGAGGCCAUCAGCGGGGUCAGCACGGACCCCCAGCCCCGCCAGGAGCAGCCCGGCAGCCAGGGCUCCCCCUACGCUCUGAGCAGCCGCCUGAGGGUGGAGGCCGCCUUCUGGCACAACCCCAGGAACCACUUCCGCUGCCAGGUCCAGUUCUACGGCGUGGACGAGGACCAAGAGUGGGACCUGUCCACACCCAAGCCUGUCACCCAGAAAAUCAACGCUGAGGCCUGGGGCCGAGCAGACUGUGGCUUCACCUCGGUGUCCUACAAGCAGGGGCUCCUCUCGGCCACUGUCCUCUAUGAGGUCCUGCUGGGGAAGGCUGCCCUGUAUGCCGUGCUGGUCAGCGCCCUGGUGCUGGUGGCCAUGAUCAAGAAGAAGGACCCCUGA